UUCUUCUAUAACAAAGUUUUUUUUUAUCCAAAAAUACUCUUUCUCCCUUCUAGCUUCCUCUUUUUUAGUUGAAUCUUCCGAUCUUAGGUUAGCAGAAGGAUUCUCCAAUUAUAUUUUUCUUCUGCUAUUCUCUACAGACUUUUCUAGAUAGAAUUAGAAUUUAGAUAGGAUAGUGGGCAGCCCGGGAUUUUAACCUACUUCUCAAAGACAUUGUUGACAUAAGUACCUGCAACCUCCCGACCUUUUCAUCUCCCAGUAGGGCAAGUGGGCGUUGCAUCAAACUGUUCCAAAUUCCAAUAGGAUUUAAAAAUAUUUCGAUACUUUUAUUUUAAAUGCUAUUGGAAUUUGGAACAGUUUGAUACAACACCCAGUUGCCCUUCCGGGAGAUGAAAAGGUCGGGGUGUCAAGGUUGCAGGUUCUAAUGUCAACUAUGUCUUUGAGAAGCGGGUGUCAAAGUUAGUUAUAAUAUACUAAUUUGCUCGGGUGAGGGUGUUCGAUACAGAUGCGGAUCUAGAGGUCAGAUCCUUCAUGAUUUAAUUUUUAAGAUUCGGGGAUAUGAAUCCAUAUAUGUAUAUGGGUGUAGGAAUUCGCCUACAAAUAAUUAAAGUAUCUAAAAAUAGAGUUGUAAAACCUAUUAUGAGAUAUUUUACAGAGAAUUUGACGAGAUCCGUGGAAAGAGAUUAAUAUUUAAAGACUAGCUUAUGAGCGGAGGAUUAUCCAAGUCCAUAUAAGGAGACUACCACUCCAUUCUCCGUCAAUGGUGAUGACAUGGGCAUCCAAAAUCGGUACUAAAACCAUAAGAAGCAGAGUGUUUGAUGUCUCCAACUCGAAUAUAACAAUUUUUUUCGAAAUUCAGUUGUAAUCUUUUAGUUUAUUUCAUUCUUUCAGCAUUGUGGUA